rnacentral:rRNA from 1 species
UUUUAUGAGAGUUUGAUCCUGGCUCAGGACGAACGCUGGCGGCGUGCCUAAUACAUGCAAGUAGAACGCUUCUUUUUCCAUCGGAGCUUGCUCCACCGGAAAAAGAGGAGUGGCGAACGGGUGAGUAACACGUGGGUAACCUGCCCAUCAGAAGGGGAUAACACUUGGAAACAGGUGCUAAUACCGUAUAAUAAUCAAAACCGCAUGGUUUUGAUUUG